UGGCAGUGACACAGACCUGAGAGGUGGCUGAAGUCAAACUUUCCUCGCUGUUUGUGUCUGGGCUUUCCCGCCUCCUCGGUCAGCUCAGCUCGAGUCCGGUGAUCAAUAACCGCGCGCGUGAAAGAAAAAAAAAGCCCACUGUGGAAACUGUCGAGGCGAAAGGCAUCAUGAAGUUCACGUCUACGAAUCAAACUCCUACUCUUUGUGUCUCCAGAAAACGGUGUCCAGAGAUUUUCAAACAGAUCUGCAGGGAUCUUUUUCCAUACCUCCAAAAUUCAGUCUUAGAAGUUGGUUGCAUUUCCUGCUUCUCACAUUCCAGACCUUCAGGUUUUUGGGAACUAUCAUUUCCCAAGACGUGAAGUGGGAGACCAACAUCAACUCCAUCCUCCAAAAAGCCCAGCAGAGGAUGUACUUUCUGCGGCAGAUGAGGAAGUCGGGUCUGCCACAAGAGCUGAUGAGCCAGUUCUACACCGCAGUCAUCAAAUCUGUCCUGUGCACAUCCAUCAUGGUCAGGUUCAGAGCAGCCACAAAACAUGAUAAGAACACACUGCAACAAACAAUAAAGUCAGCAAAAAAAAAAAAAAAUCAUUGGUGCUCCCCUACCACCCUCUAGGAUUUCUAAGCAAGGAACCAGGAAACAGGUAAGGAAAAUCAUUACUGAUUCCUCUCACCCAUGACACAACCUUUUUCAACUCCUCCCCCUGGCAGGUGCUACAGAACCCUAUACAGUAAGACUGCCAGACACAGAAACAGUAUGUUUCCUCACAAAUAGCUGACUAGUAAUCUCAACGACUAGGCCAUAGCAAAUCUUGUUUUUUUGUCCAGUUAUAACACCCUACUUCAGACCAUUGUGCAGCACAAUUUCAUUCCCAUAUACGAUGUAGAUUACUGUUGUUUGCACUGCCACACACUUAUGUAUAUUGCUUACCCUUGUAUAUUGUGUAUUGUCUGAAAAUAAUGUGUACAUUGUCUGUAUAUUACUUGUCCAUUUAUAGUCUGCAUAUUGCUUGUAUACUGUGUAUACUGAGUAUUGUCUGUAAAUUAUUUGUACAUUGUUUGUAUAUUGCAUUUAAUAGUAGAAAGACAUCAAAGGCUGGAACCCAAUUCCUUGUGUGUGUCAACAUACUUGACCAAUAAAUCUGAUUCUAAAUGAGUCCAACUUUUCUUUAAAUACUUUUUUUUCCAUAUUUUCACCUGCCUUAUAUAAGUGGAUUGUUUUAUUCUCUUAUUCUCAGAAAUAUCUCUUUUAGACUGAAAAUGAACUAAGUAAAGCAUGGACUCUGACAGUAGAUAAUUUCUUUUAAUGAUUCACAUGUAUCCAUUUGCUGUUAUACACUUACAAUCCCUGAAGUCUGACUUGUACUAUUACUGAUCUACAAUCAUGUGUGUAUGCACAGGCAAUAAAAUGUCCAACCAUCCAAA